rnacentral:rRNA from 1 species
GGGCCCGCACAAGCAGUGGAGCAUGUGGUUUAAUUCGAUGCAACGCGAAGAACCUUACCAGGCCUUGACAUCCUCGGAACUUUCUAGAGAUAGAUUGGUGCCUUCGGGAACCGAGUGACAGGUGCUGCAUGGCUGUCGUCAGCUCGUGUCGUGAGAUGUUGGGUUAAGUCCCGUAACGAGCGCAACCCUUGUCCUUAGUUGCCAUCACGUUUGGGUGGGCACUCUAGGGAAACUGCCGGUGCUAAGCCGGAGGAAGGCGGGGAUGACGUCAAGUCCUCAUGGCCCUUACGGGUAGGGCUACACACGUGCUACAAUGGCAGUGACAAUGGGAUAA